rnacentral:sRNA from 1 species
AUUUGAUUUUUGUAUCUUAGACCCGCCUAAAUAGGCGGGCCUUAUCUAGUAUAUAUAUAUAUACAUAAUCAGUAUAAUUCCCAUUCAUAUCAGCAAUAAAA